rnacentral:rRNA from 1 species
UACGUAGGGUGCAAGCGUUAAUCGGAAUUACUGGGCGUAAAGCGUGCGCAGGCGGUUAUGCAAGACAGAUGUGAAAUCCCCGGGCUCAACCUGGGAACUGCAUUUGUGACUGCAUGGCUAGAGUACGGUAGAGGGGGAUGGAAUUCCGCGUGUAGCAGUGAAAUGCGUAGAUAUGCGGAGGAACACCGAUGGCGAAGGCAAUCCCCUGGACCUGUACUGACGCUCAUGCACGAAAGCUGGGGGAGCGAACAGG